CCAAGAUGUUCUUGCUCACAUAAUUUUUGUACGGACCGGUGGUUCAAGACUGGGUCAAAGUUCAGCAAUCGUACCGGCCAAGCUGAACUUAGAGACUGAACAUUGUAAACAAAGGCCCUACCCUACAUACGAGCAAGAGUUGACUCUGUUGAAUAGCAGUCACCACCAUGGACUACUUCAUGCUACUGAUUUCGAUUGGAUUGGGAAUUGCAAUCCCUUGUCUGUGUGGCUUCCUGGUUUUGUUUUACGUCUUCCCAAACUACAUGGUCAAGAUCUUCUUAAUGUUACGAGAACGCUCAGCGGGUAUGAAAAUCAAGUAUGUCGGAGACGAGGACUUUGUCUUCUGCUAUGGUGAAAAGAACAAACCUCAGCCUGAUAAAACCAGCAUUUUGUUUGUCCAUGGCUUCACAUCCUCCAAAGACCAGUGGAUAACUUGCUUUAAGG